GAUCCCUUGCCCCCAAAUUCCUGUUGCCACUUGGAGCAGUGGCAGGAGAUGAAUUAAAACUUAAAAUAAAAAUAUAGUUUAAAAAGGGCUUAUGUUCUCUGGCAUGGUGAGCACAGUGACAUCAUUUCUAGGCACAAUCCAGAAAUGACAGUGGAAAGGUCUAGGUAGGAAAUGACAGAAAUUCUUUAGUAAAACCAUAGAGUAUCCAGCAAUUUCUAGAGCUACCUAUUGACUUUUACAGGUUGUACCAGGAAGAGACAUCACCACUCUCACAACAACGCUGUCCCCAUACUGUAUCCCUGCCCCCUCCAGUUGGCCUGCAAGUCUCAAAAUGGCUGACACAGGAGGCAGAGUCAAACACAAAAUGUCAACAAGAAUUCCUGUGAAUAAAAAUGAGUGGCUGUAUUUAAGGGGGUGGAUCCAACUAUCUUCCAAGUAGCCUUUCUCCAGUUUAAGAUACUUUUCCUCUAACAAAAGUGUCUGUGUAUUGAAGGAAGGCUUCAAGAAUGAACCACAAGGAAAGAUGAGGUAUAAAUGUUUCAAUAUUUAAUAAACUUUGUUCAGUAAAGUGGUAGGAUGAGAGUAGGAUACACCCCACUUUUGCUUUGCAAAUAGGUGAGACAGAAAAUACUAACCACUUUUCCAUUCCCAAUGAUUUCAGUGGAAUUGAUUUUCAAACAAUGUACGUAAAUGGAAUUUAGUCUAAUGCCAGGUCCUCGUCCAGAUCCAUAGUUAGGGGAGGGCAGGGGGAGGGUGGAAUAUAAAUUAUUGUUGUUGUCUCCCUAAUGAGACUUAUGGCUGUCUUCAAUAAUUCAAUAAAACAAAGUGGUUUUUCAAACCAGCUUUGAUACUAUGUUUCUCUUUGAUGCAAUAUACUUGUUGGUAGGACUGCUAAUAACUGCUCUUUUAUAUGACAUUGCCUGCGCUGUCCUUGCAGGACUUGGAUUUUUCCACACAAGUGGCUUUUAUCAGUUCAGAUCCCCAACUGUAUCUUUUUUUUCUUUUCCACAUAUGUUUUUUUCUGUAUGACAGUCACUUAUAUUUUCAUUGCUCUUUCUUUGAGUUUUUGGAGAGCACUUUCACACCAAUGCUUUUUUCAAGCCUCUUCUAAGUCAGCUUUGCUUCAGAGAAAUGUGAGGAAACCCCACUGCAAGGCCACUGCCUAUUGAAGAGUUCCCAGAUGCAGCUGAUGAAGCCAGCAAAUGCCAUGAGGAGAUGCUUGCAGAGGAUAGACAACACCAUGGCGAAAUGAUGGCCGAAGAGAAACACAAGUAGGACAUUAUAUUGGAGAAAAAUAGACUGGCGCACGAGGCAUUUCAGGACACCAUGGAGAAGAACAUAGAUAUGAUGGUUGCCACUGUCAGUGCCCUCAAAACCAUGGGCGAAAUCAUGCUGUCAAAGCAACAGGAGAGGGCAUCUCAGAACAGAGACAUAUUUAGUAAACACUGAAUAUGAAACACUGGAAACUUCACCUGGCAUGACUAAUGUAACCCAAACUAGUGUUUCUGGACCUACACUGAAAAAGGAUGUAUGUUUCAGCCAUAAGAUAGCUCACAUGAACCUCUGGUUUGCAUUUUCAGUUCUCUCAAAGAAUCUCCCUAAUUGUUCUUUUA